AUGGGUCAAGAAUACAUGCCUUCUCUUCUGAUGAAUAGCACAAGAAGUUUAGACACUCAAAAGCCGCCAGCUCGUCAUUUGCACAUCAAAAGGGAGUACAGCUGCACUCAAGCCUUUAACUGCCCAGCACGGUCCCUCGCGGAUCUUUACCGCGACUCCAGAGACCGAGCUGCUGGCGAAGGCAAGGAUGCGCGACGCGGAGGGCAGCGGCGCCGCAGCUCCGAGUCCCGGCUGGAGAGGCCGGAGGCUGAGCGGGGCGCGAGCGGAUCCCGGAUCCCGGGAGGAGAGCCGCCUCCUGAGAAUGCCGUGCUCCCUACAGCGCUGGGAACGGACCGGCCCGUGCCAGCUCAGUCGGCUGCCCUAGGGGGCACCCGCACUAGAGGUUUUGAAGCUGGCUCCUUGCUACUUUUAGGGGUGGGAGCUGCUGCUGCUCAGCUCCUGCAGCCCGCGUUUGGCCGCUUGGCUGCAGCUUCCAGCGCGAUCCUACAAUGGCAUCGCUCCCCCAGGAGACUCAGCGAAGCCCUACUUUAUCUUGUGAGAGCUGUUUCCACAUUCACUCUAAGAGAAAGACCGCCCCCCCACGAGGGCCUGAGUUCGAUGCCCGGCCUCUCCCGACCCGCGGCUGCUACAGCCCCUCUGAGGCGGAAGUUUAUUCACUACGGGAAAGAGUACAGCACGGGGAGAGGGGAGAGGCUUUGCCCUAGGAUGUGUCCUACCCGCUCGGACUCGGAAAAUUCCCGGCGCCCGCGAUGCAGAGCAGUGGGCCGAAGGGCUACCUCAGAGCAGCCCAGACCGCCAGCUGAGCGGGAGGACCUGAGCGCGCCGCCCCAGCACACAAAGUAGUCGCGGGCCGAGGGGUGCCGCCGAGGCCAAUCAGAGCCGCGCGCCGCGUGAGUGGAGUGCGAGCCGGCCAAUCAGAGGGCCGGAAGAUGAGCUUCCCGUUCCAAACUCUUCCCUGUAGCCUUGGGACCCAGAUCCCAAGCCUGGGGCGCUUUACGGUGGGAAAGCGAAAUGGUGCCCUGAAGACAAGAAUCAUUUCUCAAGGCUUGGGCAUUUUAAAGUACAUACCGGGGACACUUAUCCCAAAACAAGUAGCGGCGGCCUUUUAGAUGUUAAAUAUUAAAAGAUCACAGAAAAGAGAUUUAAGAGGCAGUGGCCUGUCAAGAUUGCAAUCUGCCUAAUAGUCAAUAAAUUCACAUAUUUAUUGAGAAUAUGUACCAGGAACUCUGUCUUCUUAUGUACCAGGAACUCUAUCACAGAUACACAAAUAAGGUACUGCUGAUUCCGAACAAGAAAAUCCCUUGUCCUCAAGCAGCUUGGGUUCUGAGGGAGGUUUUGCUAGACCUUGUGACUCGUGUUUAUUGUCAGCUCUUUAAACAAAAAGCACUCUAUGAAGUGCUGUACUUUACAGUCGUUUUUAUGAUUUUUAUCUCCCUGUGAGAAAAGAAAAUUGAAAGGAAAGUAGAGUGACUUAUCCAAGAUCACACAAAAGAUGUUCUAGCUCAGUUUGGGUGUCAUCAUUCAAUAAAAUUAUUCAAUAACAAUUU